rnacentral:rRNA from 1 species
UACGAGGGGAGCAAGCGUUGUUCGGAUUUACUGGGCGUAAAGGGCGCGUAGGCGGCGUGACAAGUCACUUGUGAAAUCUCCGGGCUUAACUCGGAACGGUCAAGUGAUACUGUCGUGCUAGAGUACAGAAGGGGCAACUGGAAUUCUCGGUGUAGCGGUGAAAUGCGUAGAUAUUGGAAAGACCACCAAUGGCGAAGGCACUCUACUGGGCCAUUACUGACACUGAGAGACGAAAGCUAGGGGAGCAAAUGGG